CUGGCCGGGGCUCUUGCUUUGGCUGGAGAGGGGCCCUGUGGAAUUUAGACCACGGGGGCCUGGAUCCUGCCUGAGCCCCAUCACCUGCGUGCGCUCAGGCUCUCACCUGCGCUUCAUUCACUUUAGCCAGAAGGCCCCACGGAUCUCCCAGCCUGCCAAGCAGCCCGGAGCCUCUGUCCUCCCAGACUGGCUUUUUCGCUUUCUCAGAAGAAUGAAGGACAGCACUGACCCAGGCUGAAGCGCUCUCUCGGCACUCUGAAGGGUGGCCGUGGGAGAAUGGAGCCAAAGAUUCACUGAUUGGUGCCCAAGGUAUUUACUGAGCACCUGCUAUGACCCAGACAUGGAGAACAGGACAGGCCAGGGGGGAAACAAACGGAACCUCCAGCACGUUGACCAACACAGGUCUUGGGUGGGAGCUCAGCUGGUCUACAUCUGGCCCCGCCUCCGAGAACCCACCCUUGACUAUGGAGGGUCCUGUCUGGGUAUCCAUUGGUGGGGGCAGCCCUGAAGGCAUGAGCCCUUCUCAGGCAGUGCCAGCAUCACGGGGCUAAAGAGGAAGCCGAAAGCCUGGACGGAGAAGUGAGGACCAGUGAAGGUGGAGGGCUAGCGUGUGGACAUGAUGGACAGCCCUCGGAGGCUUUGGGUCCCUGACCUGGUCUGAAUCCAGCUCUGCCACUCACCUGCUGUGACCAGCGGACACCAGCUGUGCCUACUAGUUUACCAGCACAGGGGUCCUUCCCUUGCCUUUGGUAACAGCACCCCAAUCUUUCCCUAGGGAGUACUCCUCUCCCAUUGCCUCCAGGCUACACGGGAUUGACUUUCAAAGUGGCAUGUCCUUGGGGUGCCUGGGUGGCUCAGUCGGUUAGGAGUCUGCCUUUGGCUCAGGUCAUGAUUCCAGGGUCCUGGGAUUGAGUCCUACAUCAGGCUCCGUACUCAGCGGGGAGCCUGCUUCUCCCUCUGCUGUGCUCGCUCUCUCUGUGUCAAAUAAAUAAAAUCUAAAGACAAAACAAAACAAAAGUGGCAUGUCCUAUCUGCCCAAGAUAUGGUUAGGUGACCCGUCCAAACCCGUGAGACUGUGUCUUCCAAGAGGGUCCAUUUUGAGUGGGGUGACAACCUGGAGCUCAGACACCUUGCCUACAGUCCCCAGUGAGCUUGUCCAUCAACUCUUACCACCUCCAGCCCCAAAGCACCUCAUCUUUCUCCCUCAUGCCUGCACGCUUAGGUUUUCCUUGGGUUUUUAAGAAUGAGUUUCUGUUGUUACAACCCUCAAACUCCUAGGGAUGCAGGGCCCCGUUCUGGGAAAGUUGCAUAUGCUCCUUGAGCUCCAGACUCUGCAUCUAUAUAACGGAGAUGCCAGCACACCUGUCACGGGGUGAGGGGUAAUGCGCUUAGUCCGUCAUGGGUGUUCCGCAGAGGUGUCAUCCCUCCUUCCCUGCCCAGCACAACAAAUGACCUUCAAAAGGUGAUGGGAAAUGCCCCCAGCCCACAGGCAGCCAGGGGCAAGCAUCAGGGGUGGAGUCUCCUGAAACC